ACCAAGGGGCACACCGCGAACACCCCCGUGAGGCUUAGGCCAAAGGUUCGCAUGUUCACCGAAAGGAAGCAUGCGCUAUG
rnacentral:ncRNA from 1 species